AGAGAUGGCCAGACAAUCGCGCCUUUAGUUUGUCUAAAGGUGAGGAAAGUCCGGGCUCCAAUGGGCAGGGUGCCAGAUAACGUCUGGAAAGCGUGAGCUUAUGGCAAGUGCCACAGAAAAUAUACCGCCUAGUUAUUGAUUAGGGUAAGGGUGAAAUGGUGCGGUAAGAGCGCACCGCGCAACUGGUAACCAGUUGUGGCAGGGUAAACCCCACCCGGAGCAAGACCAAAUAGAAGAGCAGUUUGCCUCGGCAAACAGAUACGGCCCGUAUCGUUCUUGGGUAGGUUGCUUGAGGCACGUAGUGAUGCGUGUCCCAGAUGAAUGAUUGUUCUCGACAGAACCCGGCUUAUCGGCCAUCUCUUUUU
rnacentral:RNase_P_RNA from 1 species